GUACUGCCGCACUGUUGCGUACGGCCGUACUGGUCGCCACGGAUACUGCGCAGUACAAGGUAUUAGACUGGAACUACGGGGUUUCGGCCCUAGAAAUGACGAGGCGAUAGUGGAGCACAGGAUUGCAGUGCUGCAUGGGAAGGUCGCAAGAGAGGCAUAGUCGCAGCACAAGAUCGUAGUGUUGCAAAGGGAGUUUGCUGGACUAGCCGCAUCAGAAAGGUCACUACAAGAGGAUUGGAGCAAAAUUGUGAUGCCGAUACGAGGCAGAGCUGUGAGGCGGCAUUAGAGUUGCGAGGCGGAGCUGCUAGGGUUUGGGUAACGGAGCCCUGUCGUAAAGAGUAGUGCGAGGCAAAACAAGGCUGCAAAGGAUUGUUGAGGCGCUUUGAGCUAGGCGAUACAACGCAAGGACUUGGUACAAGUUCAAGAAAAAUAUCAAGGAUCCGCGGUUGCAAACAGCGACUCAAACCGUCAGUACACAUAUAUUCAUAGGUCCACGCUGAUAAGUCCCACGCGGCCAUAGGUCCAUGAUGCACAGAUUUUCCAUGGUCAUAAAUCCAUGUUGCAUAAGUUCUCUACGAUCAUAAAACCGUGGUGACAGGAUUUGCGGUCAUAGAACCUCGGUAAUAAAUAUGUGGUCAUAGGACUCAUUAUUCAGUUAUAAAGCAUUGAAAAAAAAAAAAAAAAAAAAAAAAAAAAAUUAUCCA